AUGGACUGCUCAUCAGAAGAAACCCAUAGAUCAGAUAGUCCUUAUUGUUUGUAUAGGGGCCCUCGUACCCCGUCGCCGCUGUCUUCCCCCGCCAUGGACGACUCUGUGUCGAGCAAUGAGGACAUUGAAAACCAGAUGCCUGAUGGUAUGUCCAACGCUAGUACGCCUGUGUCUAACUAUGUCGAUAGUUGUGGAGAUGCGGUACUGCUUAAUGCUCCACUCAAAAGAACGAGGCCUGUUUUAGGCUUGAGAGACCGGAGUGCCGGGGAUUCAUUCACCCACGUUGGCGAAUACGGCUUGGAGUAUGUAAUAUCAUGGGUCGAUGGCUGUGUUAUUUUGAAAGUUAAAGAUUGUGCUACAGAGUGGCGGAUGAACGUUCACGAGUGGAAUUUUUUCUUGGAUAAUUUAUGCCCCAUGCUAGACGGCGACGAGGGUACAUGGCAUGGGGGACCCCAUGAAUACCGUUGGACCUUUCAGUAUGAACCGAGGAUUCAACAUCGUUUGGCAUGCACCUUUCAGUAUGAAUCGAGGAUUCAUCGCAUGGAUGCAAACUAUCAUACGAAGAGACCACAGGAUUUCAUUUUUUUCAGACGCGGUGUUGAUACAGACGAGCUACCACAGUGCUAUGAUAUGCAUUGCAUCGGUAGCUCUCCUCUACGCGCCAGUGUUUUAGAAGCUGCUGAUUAUUUUGAUAAUGUCUUUUUCAUGCAGUGGGCUGAUCUGUCUGCACUACGUGGAAUUUUUGCAGAGAUUGAUUCUUUGGCUAAGACGAAUGAAGAACCAUGGAGCACAACUGAUGAUGAAUGCCGAAUGUGCCUGUUUGAGUCGUCUGGGUUUGAUGAUGGGGUACAUGCACAGGUCAAUGAUGAACAUGUUCAAGGUGGGGGUGUGGCUAUGGAGACUGCUGAUUUAAAGGCUGUGCAACCCGGACCCCACUGGCUUCAAGAGUAUGCCGUCUAUCUGACCGGAUUGAAUCUGACCUUCCUACACAUCGGAGAGGACAGUGAGCUGGAGGUGGACACUGCUGUGAGAGACGACGGAUGGCCUGUAUCAAUACAGAUCCGUUUAAACCCUGCAUCGCUGGCUGUUCUGCGAUUUACCACGGGGGUCUGUGUGGUGGCCAUCAUCAACCAUCAGAAGCAAGCGGACUGCUGGGGAUGCCAGUGUGAUUGCCCAAGUCAACGACGCCAUUCAUGCCUACAGGGAGCGACACAUCAUCACUACGAAUCCCACUACCAUGACAUUUGUGUCAUCCUGGACAGACACCCCUUCCUGUUACUUUUAGAAACUGUUCUAAAGAAGACUACAGGGUUGACUGUGUCCCCCGGAAAAAUCUAUGGUGUGGUCGAAUCUUAUCUAUGUGAUUUAAUAUGCAAUACCUAUAAUACCGAAAAACUGGAUUCAUUGACCACCGAAGGUGUGUCCGAUGAACAUCUGCUUCUGAUACAUGAAGCCAUACAAAUGUGGCGCCCUACAUUGUCAUUUUGCAAACCAAAGCCUGGUGGUGGUGGUGGGUGGCGUUUAUAAUGGGUGUGUUGUUUUCUUAUGCCUAUGAUGCGGAUAGCAAGAUUGUAUCAGAUAGACUAUCCGUUUUGAUGUAUGCUGCCAUAGAAAAUGAUACGUAUGUCCAACAUAAUGCUUAUAUCAAAUGUACGUAUAAGGGCUGGAAUGAUCUGGUCAUGAAAUUCUUGUGUGAUAAACCUACUGAUCAAAUGUUAGCUGAAGUAUUUACCCAUUUCCCCGAUGGUGACUGUUUUACCGUCGGACAUGUCAUGUGUAUAUGUGCUUUUGUAUCGGAUGUCUUGAAGUUGAAUAAUGCCUCAAACGCCGAGGGUAUUAGAACUGCUAGAAUGAUGGCUUGUAAAAUGGUGCAGAAAAAUAAAACUGCAUGUAGACUUUAUCUGAGAAUUGUUUUGAGUGGACAGACAUUUUAAAUAAAAGGAUGGAUAACUCUGAUCAGUGUUUCAGUAUUCGUUUUUUGUUGCAUGCAUACGACAUGGAUAAACGGCUGCAUAAGACUUAUUAUGAUCCCUCCGGACCAGGGGGUUACGGCGGCAUCAAUAAACUAAGAACGGCCCUCGCGCAUAGUGAGGGUGCAGUACCUCCACUAAAAUAUAUCAAGAAAUGGUUGCUGAAGCAGGAUCCCUACACCCUGCAUGUACCUGCACCGAUACAUUUCCGCCGAAAUAGAGUAUUGGUUAGUGGAAUAGAUAGACAGUUCCAGG
rnacentral:lncRNA from 1 species